rnacentral:rRNA from 1 species
GGCCCAGAUCGUUUACCGUGAAGAAAUUAGAGUGUUCAAAGCGGGCGCGAAAGCAAUUUCUCGCCGUUGAAUACGUCAGCAUGGGAUAAUGGGAAUAGGACCCCGCUCUCCUAUUUUCCGUUGGUUUCCGGGAGCGGGGUAAUGAUUGAUAGGGAUAGUUGGGGGCAUCGAUAUUUAAUUGUCAGAGGUGAAAUUCUUGGAUUUAUUGAAAGAUCGACUUCCGCGAAAGCAUUUGCCAAGGAUGUUUUCAUUAAUCAAGAACGAAAGUUAGGGGAUCGAAGACGAUCAGAUACCUCGUGUCGUAGUCUUAACCAUAAACCGUGCCGACCAGCGAUCGGGAGACGUCGCAUGGAUGACUCCCCUAGCAGCUUGUGAGA